rnacentral:rRNA from 1 species
CUUUAGUUGCCAUCAUUGAGUUGGGCACUCUAAAGAGACUGCCGGUGUCAAACCGGAGGAAGGUGGGGAUGACGUCAAGUCCUCAUGGCCUUUAUGACCAGGGCUACACACGUACUACAAUGGCCGGUACAAAGGGCAGCGACACAGCGAUGUGAAGCGAAUCCCGAAAAGCCGGUCUCAGUCCGGAUUGGAGUCUGCAACUCGACUCCAUGAAGUUGGAAUCGCUAGUAAUCGCGGAUCAGCACGCCGCGGUGAAUACGUUCCCGGGCCUU